rnacentral:rRNA from 1 species
CGAGGAAUAUUGGUCAAUGGGCGAGAGCCUGAACCAGCCAAAUCGCGUGAAGGAAGACUGCCUUAUGGGUUGUAAACUUCUUUUAUACAGGAAUAAAAAACGGGGACGUGUCCCUUAUUGCAUGUACUGUAUGAAUAAGCAUCGGCUAACUCCGUGCCAGCAGCCGCGGUAAUACGGAGGAUGCGAGCGUUAUCCGGAUUUAUUGGGUUUAAAGGGUGCGCAGGCGGGCUUUUAAGUCAGCGGUGAAAUCUCGGGGCUUAACUCCGAAACUGCCGUUGAAACUGGGAGUCUUGAGUAUGGAUGAAGUAGGCGGAAUUCGUUGUGUAGCGGUGACAUGCUUAGAUAUAACGAGGAACUCCGAUUGCGUAGGCAGCUUACUAAGCCAUAACUGACGCUCAAGCACGAAAGCGUGGGGAUCAAACAGGAUUAGAUACCCUGGUAGUCCACGCCGUAAACGAUGAUUACUAGUUGUAUGCGAUAUACCGUAUGUGACUAAGCGAAAGCGAUAAGUAAUCCACCUGGGGAGUACGCCGGCAACGGUGAAACUCAAAGGAAUUGACGGGGUCAUAGCUGUUUCCUG